rnacentral:miRNA from 1 species
ACAUGAAUCACCUAGGGAUCUUGUUAAAAUGCACGUUCCAACUCUGUAGGUCUAAGGUAGGGCCUCAGACUGCAUUUCUAACAAGCUCCCAGGUGAGACACUU